UACGUAGGCAGCGAGCGUUGUUCGGAGUUACUGGGCGUAAAGGGUGUGUAGGCGGUUGUUUAAGUUUGGUGUGAAAUCUCCCGGCUCAACUGGGAGGGUGCGCCGAAUACUGAAUGACUCGAGUGCGGGAGAGGAGAGUGGAAUUCCUGGUGUAGCGGUGAAAUGCGUAGAUAUCAGGAGGAACACCGGUGGUGUAGACGGCUCUCUGGACCGUAACUGACGCUGAGACACGAAAGCGUGGGUAGCAAACAGG
rnacentral:rRNA from 1 species